rnacentral:rRNA from 1 species
AGAGUUUGAUCCUGGCUCAGGAUGAACGCUGGCGGCGUGCCUAAUACAUGCAAGUCGAGUGGAGGGUAUAGCAAUGUACCCUUAGCGGCGAACGGGUGAGUAACGCGUUGGUGACCUGCCCCGAAACGGGGGAUAACAGUUCGAAAGGACUGCUAAUACCCCAUGAGUACAGAAGGAUUAGAGGCCUUCUGUGGAAAGGAGCAAUCCACUUUGGGAGGGACCUGCGUCCCAUCAGCUAGUUGGUAGGGUAACGGCCUACCAAGGCGAAGACGGGUAGGGGACCUGAGAGGGUGGCCCCCCACAAUGGAACUGAAACACGGUCCAUACACCUACGGGUGGCAGCAGUAGGGAAUAUUGCAUAAUGGGCGAAAGCCUGAUGCAGCAACGCCGCGUGUGCGAUGAAGGCCUUCGGGUCGUAAAGCACUUUUAGAGAGGAAGAGGAAGGACGGUACUCUCUGAAUAAGCCUCGGCUAACUACGUGCCAGCAGCCGCGGUAAAACGUAGGAGGCGAGCGUUAUCCGGAUUUACUGGGCGUAAAGCGCGUGCAGGCGGUCGGGUAAGUUGGAUGUAAAAGCUCCUGGCUUAACUGGGAGAGGUCGUUCAAUACUACCGGACUAGAGGCAGGGAGAGGGAGGUGGAAUUCCGGGUGUAGUGGUGAAAUGCGUAGAUAUCCGGAGGAACACCAGUGGCGAAAGCGGCCUCCUGGCCCUGAUCUGACGCUCAGACGCGAAAGCUAGGGGAGCGAACGGGAUUAGAGACCCCGGUAGUCCUAGCUGUAAACGAUGUGGACUUGGCGUCGGAGGGUUUAAAUCCUUCGGUGCCGAAGCGAACGCGAUAAGUCCACCGCCUGGGGACUACGGCCGCAAGGUUAAAACUCAAAGGAAUUGACGG